rnacentral:lncRNA from 1 species
UGUUCUCUAUUAUCAUUCUCUGGGACCGUAAAAUUUUUUUUUUGCUUCACUUAAUUAGAUUUUGAGGACUUAAAAUUUCUUUAUUGAAAAUAAGUCAUAAAGUCUUCUAGGAACCCCUUUGGUUACAUAUAUGAACAUAGAAGUAAGCCUUGGAAAUUAUAAGAAUUAAAACUACAGGAUCAUUUGAAGAAAAACCUAGCUCAUAUUGGACAGGACUGUUGUAAGAAUGAAAUAAUUUAUACUUACCCUUCUAUUACUGUUUUUUUCCUACACAC